rnacentral:rRNA from 1 species
AACGUAGGUGGCGAGCGUUAUCCGGAUUUACUGGGCGUAAAGCGUGUGCAGGCGGUCGUUCAAGUGGUGUAUGAAAUCGCCCGGCUUAACCGGGUGAGGUUAGGCCAGACUGGACGACUGGAGGACGGGAGAGGGGCGUGGAAUUCCGGGUGUAGUGGUGAAAUGCGUAGAGAUCCGGAGGAACCCCAGCGGCGAAGGCGGCGCCCUGGCCCGUUUCUGACGCUCAGACACGACAGCAUGGGGAG